AACGAACGCUGGCGGCAUGCCUAACACAUGCAAGUCGAACGAGACCUUCGGGUCUAGUGGCGCACGGGUGCGUAACGCGUGGGAACCUGCCCUUAGGUUCGGAAUCACUCCCCGAAAGGGGUGUUAAUACCGGAUAAUGUCUUCGGACCAAAGAUUUAUCGCCUUUGGGUGGGCGCGGGUUGGAUUAGCUAGUUGGUAGUGUAAAAGCCUACCAAGGUGAUGAUCCAUAGCUGGUCUGAGAGGAUGAUCAGCCACACUGGGACUGAGACACGGCCCAGACUCCUACGGGAGGGAGCAGUAGGGAAUAUUGGGCAAUGGGCGAAAGCCUGAUCCAGCAAUGCCGCGUGAGUGAUGAAGGCCUUAGGGUUGUAAAGCUCUUUUACCCGGGAUGAUAAUGACAGUACCGGGAGAAUAAGCUCCGGCUAACUCCGUG
rnacentral:rRNA from 1 species